rnacentral:misc_RNA from 1 species
AGCAGCCGCGGUAAUUCCAGCUCCAAUAGCGUAUAUUAAAGUUGUUGCAGUUAAAAGCUCGUAGUUGAAUUUCGGGAUUGACGUAAUGGUCGUGCCUUAAGGGGUAUGAACUGUUACUGUUGAUUUCUCACCUUCUGGAGAAUCUUGAUGUCCUUAAUUGGGUGUCUUGUGGAUCCAGGACCUUUACCUUGAAAAAAUUAGAGUGUUUAAAGCAGGCAUUUUGCUCGAAUACAUUAGCAUGGAAUAAUAGAAUAGGACGGCAUGGUUCUAUUUUGUUGGUUUCUAGGAUCACCGUAAUGAUUAAUAGGGAUAGUUGGGGGCAUUAGUAUCCAAUUGUCAGAGGUGAAAUUCUUGGAUUUAUUGAAGACUAACUACUGCGAAAGCAUUUGCCAAGGAUGUUUUCAUUAAUCAAGAACGAAAGUUAGGGAUCGAAGACGAUCAGAUACCGUCGUAGUCUUAACCAUAAACUAUGCCGACUAGGAAUCAGACGAUGUUAAUUUUUAUGUACUCGUUUGGCUAA